CUGCAUGCUAUGCUGGGGUAAAAAAAGCUCAUGAUCCCUUACCUUGCACAAUGGUGGUGGGCUCCAAAUAGCAUGCUACAGAGUCAUGGAGUUAACAGGGCCACCAGUCUCUCAAGAAAAGGCUGUGUUGGUAGUAUAAAACUCCAACAAUU